rnacentral:rRNA from 1 species
AACGCUGGCGGCGUGCUUACACAUGCAAGUCGAGCGAAGCGCUUAAGAUAGCUUGCUAUUUUUAGUGACUGAGCGGCGAACGGGUGAGUAACACGUGGGUAAUCUGCCUGGAAGUCUGGGAUAACAGUUGGAAACGGCUGCUAAUACCGGAUGACAUUGCAGCUGUAGAGGCUGUAAUCAAAGCGUUAUGUAGCGCUUCCAGAUGAGCCCGCGUCCCAUUAGUUAGUUGGUGGGGUAAAGGCCUACCAAGGCAAUGAUGGGUAGCUGGUCUGAGAGGAUGAUCAGCCACACUGGCACUGAAACACGGGCCAGACUCCUACGGGAGGCAGCAGUGAGGAAUUUUGCGCAAUGGGGGAAACCCUGACGCAGCAACGCCGCGUGAGUGAAGAAGGCCUUCGGGUCGUAAAGCUCUGUCAGGUGGGAAAAAACACUUUCGGUCAAUAGCCGAAAGGAUUGAUGGUACCGCCAGAGGAAGCACCGGCUAACUCCGUGCCAGCAGCCGCGGUAAUACGGAGGGUGCAAGCGUUGUUCGGAAUUACUGGGCGUAAAGGGCGCGUAGGCGGUAUAGUAAGUCGGUUGUGAAAGCCCUGGGGCUCAACCCAGGAAGUGCAUUCGAAACUGCUAUACUUGAGUAUGGGAGAGGAGAGUGGAAUUCCCAGUGUANAGGUGAAAUUCGUANAUAUUGGGAGGAACACCCGUGGCGAAGGCGGCUCUCUGGACCA